rnacentral:misc_RNA from 1 species
CGUCCUCGUUCUCGACAGGGUCUCAGUUCGCCCUCAGCAGCCGCGGGAGGAGGAGGUUUUUGGUGACGACGCAAGUGGAAUAAUAAAGAAUGGCAGCGUUAGCAUUUCUUGCUCUCUCUCUGCUGAUAUCUGCAGCCACGGCGCAGAAUGGGGGCAGCGUGACCUGCCCCUCCUCCUGCCCAGACCGCUUCCGCCCCGUGUGCGGCACCGACAACAAGGCCUACGGAAACGAGUGUAAACUUCUGCAGGCAGCUUGUCGACUCCCUGGCCUCAGGAAGAAGAACGACGGACCCUGCGUCAGUAGCAACAACUGUCAGCGUCAGUGUUCUAGCUCGUACGAACCCGUGUGUGCCACUGACGGCGUCUCCUACAACAGCAAAUGCCACCUUUCCAUCAAGAGCUGUGAAAACCCGAGCGUCCAGCUGAGAUAUGAGGGGCCCUGCGCCGUGCCUGCAAACUCCCCGAGCCCCACGUCCAGACCGACGUCCACCGGCGGGUCUCUCCAACCUGCAUCCGGUUCAGCAAACAGGGUCCCUCAGGUCGGCCAGUCGGUGCUCUCCCUCGUCACCGGCGCAGCUCGCCCUCAGAACUCCGCUCCUGCUCCGGCUCCAAUCACCUCCUGCCACCUCCAGGCCCGCGUCGGUUGGGAACGCUGGUGGCACCCCGCGCUGUCGGGACGAGUGUCAGCUUGGCUUCCGACCCGUGUGUGGCACCGACGGGAAAGUGUACGCGAACGAGUGCAAGCUGAGAGUGGCCUCCUGCCACGACCCCACGAUUCAGAAGAAGAACGACGGGGUUUGCGAGAAGGACUGCAGCAUCGCCUGUCCUGACGAUGUCGAGCCCGUGUGUGGAAGCAACGGCGUCACGUACAGGAACUCCUGCUUCUACAGCAUCGCCCGCUGCCUUGACCCUGAUGUUAGGAAGGUUGCUAAUACCCCUUGUGCCAAUCGGCGGGACACCAAAUGCGACUUAGCUUGCGACAAGUCCAUCAACGCGGUCUGUGGCAGCGACGGCCGGACGUACCGCAAUCAGUGCGAACUUGAGGCCACCGCUUGCACGAAGACCAGUCUGAUAAAGCUCAAUAA